AGAGAGAGAGAGAGAGAGAGAGAGAGAGAGAGAGAGAGAGAGAGAGAGAGUUAGAGAGGACUGUGUGGUCGUGGGGGGUACAGCAUGGGGCAGUACAUUCAUAGCUUGGUCAUUAAUAUCCCACCCCACUAACCAAAGCCACACUUGGUGUCUGUCAGGCGGUCCCCAUCAAAGAGGCAGUAAAGUGACCCUUUGUCUUGUUGGCCAGGACCAAAGAGCCUUUAGUCUAUGACACAUCACCAUCACACAGACAGGUCAGGAAAUUACACAGAAUGUCUUUGGGGUCUGUGGGUGUGGGAUGACGGGUGAUUAAAUAAAAAAAACUGUCGAAGGGUGGAGGGUGUGUGAGAGGAGGAGAGGAGGCCUCGAACGAAGGGCCGUAGCGGGGAUUAGAGAGACGUGUCACUGUGUUCUUAACCAUCAAGUAGGGCCUGGAUGGGGCUCUUGUCCAAGCGGGAUAAAGUCUUGCUCACCGGCCCAGACAGGACACACAGGAGAUGGGGGGGGUGGGAGGGGGGGUAGUGGGUUGCAGCAGCUACGGGUCAAAUCAGUCCCACGUCUCCCAUUAGGACGCUCAUUAUGGCUGUUUUCCGCUCAGCCCCUUGCUGUGCAGCAACCAGGAAACACUGGGAGGCCAAGAUGGCUGCUCAUGAGACAGGUUGGCUGGUGAGUGCAUUUCGGUUUUGUUCUCUUUGGGGCACGGGCGUGUUUACAUACUUCAGAGGGAAGUUGAAAGAUCCCACUGUGUGACACAAGCUAGGAUGACCUGGACGGUCCACAUUUCCAAAGCUGUCAGAAAGGAGACGGGUGUGUGUCGUGUUGUAAACAACCCUCUGGGACCAGAGUGAACACACCUUUCUGCAGACUUAACACACAGCAGCAAAACUAGCGGAGCAGAGAUAGAGAGAGGCCCUGUUAGUGAACCGGGUUCAGUUUCCACCCACGGUGAUGUGCUACUGUUUGCGCUGUGAGACACACCUAGUAUCCUGACACUGCCACCAGACCCCAGGGACAGCAAACCUCAUCUGCCCCCUGUGCUGCUGCCGCCCACGGACCUCUCAUAUCAUCUCAUAAUACAUGUUUAUAUACACAUCGCUACAAUUUACACCCAUCCUAAUUCUCUAGGUAAUGAAACAGCCAAAUGCAUGUUAUAAACUCAGAGUUCCAGUUUUUCGACAGUUUGAUCUAUAAAAACUCAACACUUUUACAAUCUUCGGUUACUUUUGGCAUACAUGUUUGGUGUUAAUAUGGUUGCAAAAUGUAUCAAGGGAUUAAGGAGCUUGAAUAAUCCUUGGUCAGUCUUCAACAGUCUUCAAAGCCUUUCAAGUUAUUUGCAAGUCCUCUACUGAAGUGUCUGCUGCAGCUGCUCUCACAAAAUGGACGACCCUCCCUGCUUUCAUUGCACAAAAUGGCCUCCUACUCAAAUCUGUACAGUAUUGAUGAUGCACUGCAUAAUUUUUCAGCAACCACUAACAUUAACUUAAUAGUACACUAAUUGUUAUAUUGGCCAUCUAUUGAUGGUGAUUCUAGUCAUUUGUAUAUCAAAUCUAAAUUCAUCAGGCAACUUCGAACUAACAGACAGAAAGAAAUACUUCAUCUACUGUAACCAAAAUUACUCUCUCCUUAGUACUGCCUGGUUUGCUUAAAAACAUUCCUUAUU